GAUGAACGCUAGCGACAGGCUUAACACAUGCAAGUCGAGGGGCAGCACAGGUAGCAAUACCGGGUGGCGACCGGUGCACGGGUGAGUAACGCGUAUGCAACUUACCUAUCAGAGGGGGAUAACCCGGCGAAAGUCGGACUAAUACCGCAUGAAGCAGGGGUCCCGCAUGGGGAUAUUUGCUAAAUAUUCAUCGCUGAUAGAUAGGCAUGCGUUCCAUUAGGCAGUUGGCGGGGUAACGGCCCACCAAACCGACGAUGGAUAGGGGUUCUGAGAGGAAGGUCCCCCACAUUGGUACUGAGACACGGACCAAACUCCUACGGGAGGCAGCAGUGAGGAAUAUUGGUCAAUGGCCGAGAGGCUGAACCAGCCAAGUCGCGUGAGGGAUGAAGGUUCUAUGGAUCGUAAACCUCUUUUAUAAGGGAAUAAAGUGCGGGACGUGUCCCGUUUUGUAUGUACCUUAUGAAUAAGGAUCGGCUAACUCCGUG
rnacentral:rRNA from 1 species